UACGUAGGGUGCAAGCGUUGUCCGGAAUUAUUGGGCGUAAAGAGCUCGUAGGCGGUCUGUCGCGUCUGCUGUGAAAACUCAGGGCUUAACCCUGAGCUUGCAGUGGGUACGGGCAGACUAGAGUGCGGUAGGGGAGACUGGAAUUCCUGGUGUAGCGGUGAAAUGCGCAGAUAUCAGGAGGAACACCGGUGGCGAAGGCGGGUCUCUGGGCCGGUACUGACGCUGAGGAGCGAAAGCGUGGGGAGCGAACAGG
rnacentral:rRNA from 1 species